GGCUGUCAGUAGACAAGGAUAAGUUAGGUAUGGAUAAUGUCAUCGCUAGAGUAACCACUGAAAAUAUCACAUGAAGAGACAUCAUGGAAACCACAGUUGAUAAUUAUAAUGGAAUACUCAAAAAAGUUCAAGUAACCUAAGAGUAGACAGAAAAGCUGGGCGCAGAGGCUCACAGCUGUAGUCCCAGCUACUCAGGAGGCUGAGGGGGGAGGAUCACUUGAGCCCAGGAGUUAGAGGCUGCAGGGAGCUAUGACUGCACGUGUGACUAGCCACUGCACUCCAACCUAGACAAAACAGUGAGACCCCAUCUCUAAAUAAAAAGAGAAAAUACAGUAGUGUUUAACAACAGUGGGGGGUGUGAGAACAGAAAAAAACAAUAAAAUGGAAGACGUAACAGAAUAAUUACACUAAGUAUCUACAGUCUAAACACACAAAAGAUAAAGAUUGUCAGAAGGGAUGAAGAACACAUGAUCCAACCGGACACCUUCUACAAGAAACUCACUUCAAAACUCACGGUGCAGGUCCCUGCUGGAGGCUGCCCAGGAUCUUCUCACCCAAGAGAUGAAUCAGCCGAGUCACCACCUGCGGGCAGACACAGGAGCCAAGAGCCACACGUUUUAAACCAAGAAACGCUGGGAACCAAAGACAGUGAUGCUCAACAACAGCGAGACUCAGCCAAUGGCGCUGGAUCUGCUUUUCAAAACCUCCAUGAACUGAGUUGCACGUGACUCACAAGCCACGUGCUGGGCCAUGGCUGUCCAGGCCUUGCAGCCUUCUUGAUGCCCAGAAUGAAAAACUUCUUGGGAUCCGUGUGCUGGCUGAUGAACAACUGCAGACCUGCCCUUCAGGCCCCUCCGCCAGUCCUUGCUCCACACUCUCACCUGCGCCCUGCCCUCACCUGCUCCAUGACCUCAUCCACUCUGCGCCUUCACCUGCUCUGCGCCCUCACCAGCUCCGCACCCUCACCUGCGCCCUGCCCUCACCUGCUCCGUGACCUCAUCCACUCUGCGCCCUGCCCUCACCUGCUCCGUGACCUCAUCCACUCCGCGCCCUGCCCUCACCUGCUCCGUGACCUCAUCCACUCCGCGCCUUCACCUGCUCUGUGCCCUCACCUGCUCCAUGCCCUCACCUGCUCUGUGCCCUCACCCGCUCCGCCCUCACCUGUUCCAUGCCCUCAUUCGCUCCACACCCUCAUCCGCUCCGCAUCCUCACCCGCGCCAUGCUCACCUGU